CUUUUUAUGUCAAAAGCCUUGGCAGAACACAGGGAAAAUGAAACCAAGUGGCAUUUCCUGUUCUGACACAGAAGCAUCUAAGCACUCAGUCAUUGUGCACCUGCUUUCUGAGGCACAGGCCAGACCUUCAGACCUGGAUUUGAGGCAGAACAGAGCACAUUCGCUCACCGGGGAAGCUUCUAACAUGCAGGUCCCCUGUCUGCUGAGGGCAGUCAUAGCCUCCAUGUGGCUUGGAUCCAGCAUGUCCCAGAAGGUAACACAAGAUGAAGCUGCAAUUUCUAUGCUAGAGAAGGAGGCUGUGACCUUGAAUUGUGUAUAUAACUCUACUAGUUUUAGUUAUUAUUUAUUCUGGUACAAACAACCACCAAGUGGGGAAAUGAUCCUCCUCAUCGAUCAGGAGUCUUACAGGGAAGAGAAGGUGACCGAGGGUCGGUUUUCCCUGAACUUACAGAAGCCAGUCAGCUCCUUCAGCUUCACCAUCUCGGCCUUAGAGCUCCAGGACUCGGCAGUGUAUUUCUGCGCUCUGAGAGAGUCCACAGUGAAGCAGGUGCCUGCAGGAGCCCUACAAAACCCUCAGAUCUCAACACCAGGCCUCCCCCAGCGAUGAACACCUGGAUGGUGGACUGGAAUCAGCAGAGGCUGUCAGCAAGUGUGGGUUUCAAGGGGAACCUUACCCUAAGGAAAACAUUGUCUCUCUGGCUCAGAAAAUAUUUCCACAUUGUAAUUCAUCAAAAAAUCUGUCUUCAGUUCUUUAUCUAGGAGUAGAUUAUUUGAUGAGAGAUUUAAAAAAAAAAAAAA